AAAAAAAAAAAAAUCAGUUAUUUUCCAUCAUAUGUAAAAAACAAAAGCAACUCUCUUCCCGUGGGAGGCGAAUGCUGGUCGGGAGAGAAGCCAGAGAUAGUUCGUGGCUCUGCUUCAGAGAAAAGCUGUCACCACUGUGGCUGUCAUGAUUGGUUUGCAAAAUGCAGGUUUGCUGGAACGAACUCAAUUUAAUAUCUCUUCAAUUUUUAAUUCUGUUCCACACUUGUCACCGCUGCUGCUGUGACCCAGCCCCUUCCGUGCACUCUCUCUCCUCUCCUGCACAGCUGCCGCUGCCCCUGUCAGGAUCCCUCCUGCCGAUCUGCAUCGCCUCUCCCGCCCCCGAAAACACUGUCCACCUCCAUUUAUCCCACCCACUCUCUGGGGCACCGGGACUUAUCUGCUGUGGCAGCAGGGACCGAAGCCAUCAGGAGUUUCUAAUAGGCCGGGAUGACAUUUUCGCCUCUUGUCAUUUCUACACCCCACUAAUAUUUUCAGGUGCUUUUCCAUCCUGAAUGCACCCAGCUCCGAAAAAAAAAAAACAAA
rnacentral:lncRNA from 1 species